rnacentral:rRNA from 1 species
GACGAACGCUGGCGGCGUGCCUAAUACAUGCAAGUUGAGCGCUGAAGGUUGGUACUUGUACCAACUGGAUGAGCAGCGAACGGGUGAGUAACGCGUGGGGAAUCUGCCUUUGAGCGGGGGACAACAUUUGGAAACGAAUGCUAAUACCGCAUAAAAACUUUAAACACAAGUUUUAAGUUUGAAAGAUGCAAUUGCAUCGCUCAAAGAUGAUCCCGCGUUGUAUUAGCUAGUUGGUGAGGUAAAGGCUCACCAAGGCGAUGAUACAUAGCCGACCUGAGAGGGUGAUCGGCCACAUUGGGACUGAGACACGGCCCAAACUCCUACGGGAGGCAGCAGUAGGGAAUCUUCGGCAAUAGACGAAAGUCUGACCGAGCAACGCCGCGUGAGUGAAGAAGGUUUUCGGAUCGUAAAACUCUGUUGGUAGAGAAGAACGUUGGUGAGAGUGGAAAGCUCAUCAAGUGACGGUAACUACCCAGAAAGGGACGGCUAACUACGUG